rnacentral:rRNA from 1 species
GACGAACGCUGGCGGCGUGCUUAACACAUGCAAGUCGAGCGGUAAGGCCCUUCGGGUACACGAGCGGCGAACGGGUGAGUAACACGUGGGUGACCUGCCUCUAGCUCUGGGAUAAGCCUGGGAAACUGGGUCUAAUACCGGAUAUGACUCCACGGCGCAUGUUGUGGGGUGGAAAGCCUUGUGUGGCUAGAGAUGGGCCCGCGGCCUAUCAGCUUGUUGGUGGGGUGAUGGCCACCAAGGCGACGACGGGUAGCCGGCCUGAGAGGGCGACCGGCCACACUGGGACUGAGACACGGCCCAGACUCCUACGGGAGGCAGCAGUGGGAAUCUUGCGCAAUGGGCGAAAGCCUGACGCAGCGACGCCGCGUGAGGGAUGACGGCCUGGUGUAA